rnacentral:rRNA from 1 species
UGGGGAAUUUUGGACAAUGGGCGAAAGCCUGAUCCAGCAAUGCCGCGUGUGUGAAGAAGGCCUUCGGGUUGUAAAGCACUUUUGUCCGGAAAGAAAUCCUUGGCUCUAAUACAGUCGGGGGAUGACGGUACCGGAAGAAUAAGCACCGGCUAACUACGUGCCAGCAGCCGCGGUAAUACGUAGGGUGCAAGCGUUAAUCGGAAUUACUGGGCGUAAAGCGUGCGCAGGCGGUUUGCUAAGACCGAUGUGAAAUCCCCGGGCUCAACCUGGGAACUGCAUUGGUGACUGGCAGGCUAGAGUAUGGCAGAGGGGGGUAGAAUUCCGCGUGUAGCAGUGAAAUGCGUAGAGAUGUGGAGGAAUACCGAUGGCGAAGGCAGCCCCCUGGGCCAAUACUGACGCUCAUGCACGAAAGCGUGGGGAGCAAACAGGAUUAGAUACCCUGGUAGUCCACGCCCUAAACGAUGUCAACUAGUUGUUGGGGAUUCAUUUCCUUAGUAACGUAGCUAACGCGUGAAGUUGACCGCCUGGGGAGUACGGUCGCAAGAUUAAAACUCAAAUGAAUUGACGGGGUCAUAGCUG